AUUGAACGCUGGCGGCAGGCCUAACACAUGCAAGUCGAGCGGAUGAAGGGAGCUUGCUCCUGGAUUCAGCGGCGGACGGGUGAGUAAUGCCUAGGAAUCUGCCUGGUAGUGGGGGAUAGCGUCCGGAAACGGGCGCUAAUACCGCAUACGUCCUGAGGGAGAAAGUGGGGGAUCUUCGGACCUCACGCUAUCAGAUGAGCCUAGGUCGGAUUAGCUAGUUGGUGGGGUAAAGGCCUACCAAGGCGACGAUCCGUAACUGGUCUGAGAGGAUGAUCAGUCACACUGGAACUGAGACACGGUCCAGACUCCUACGGGAGGCAGCAGUGGGGAAUAUUGGACAAUGGGCGAAAGCCUGAUCCAGCCAUGCCGCGUGUGUGAAGAAGGUCUUCGGAUUGUAAAGCACUUUAAGUUGGGAGGAAGGGCAGUAAGUUAAUACCUUGCUAUUUUGACGUUACCAACAGAAUAAGCACCGGCUAACUUCGUG
rnacentral:rRNA from 1 species